GACGAACCGUGCGAACGUUAUUCGGAAUCAUUGGGCUUAAAGGGCGCGUAGGCGGCGGCGUAAGUUGGAAGUGAAAUCCCAUCGGCUCAACCGUGGAAUCGCUCCCAGUACUGCGUCGCUCGAGGGGGAUAGGGGUCUGCGGAAGCUACCGGUGGAGCGGUGGAAAUGUGUUGAUAUCGGUGGGAACGCCGAGUGGCGAAAGCGGCAGACUGGACCCUUCCGUGACGCUGAGUGCGCGAAAGCUAGGGGAGCAAACGGG
rnacentral:rRNA from 1 species